rnacentral:lncRNA from 1 species
GAAACAGCAGCCUAUUUGGAUAGAAUAAGCUUGGUGUUUGGAUUCAGUUCAACUAGGGUUUGAGUUCCACUUUGAACUCAGUCACAUACCAGCUAUUGCUUAGCCUUUCUGUGCCUGAAUUUCCUCAUUAAUAAAGAUGACAAAGCAGCUAGCUCACAAGACACCAGUGUGAUGCUUAAAUGAGACUCUAUGUAAAGCAUUUAGAACCACUUCCAGAACAAGCAACAACUCAAUAAUUGUUAGAUUUUUGUUUGUUGAGACAGUCUUGCUCUGUUGCCCAGGCUGGAGUGCAAUGGUGUAUUUAUGCCUCACUGCAGCCUGGAACUCGCAGGCUCAAGCAAUCCUCCUGCCCAGCCUCCUGAGUAGCUGGGACUACAGGAGUGCACCAGCAUGAUCAGCUAAUUUUUAAAAUUUUUUUGUAGAGUAGGAAUGUCACUUUGUUGCCCAGGCUGGUCUCAAACUCCUAGCAUGGUGGGAACUUCCCACCUCAGCUUUCCAAAGUUCUGGAAUAACAGCUGUGAGCCACGCACUCAGCCAGAUGUUAUAAUUAUUACUAUUACUACUCCUUAACAAAAACAUUUUAAUUAAGGGUAUCACACAAUCCAUGAGGCCUUACAGUAAGUAGA